ensembl:lncRNA
GAGGCAGAGAUAACAGGCGGAGGCGUAACAAUACGCCUAACCAGGGCCAGAGUCACGGCCAGGGCAAGCCGCAGCCAGGAAAUAAGCCAGGCUUUUGAAGUUACGCCCGAGGACAGCGUACCAUAUUCCAUUCCGGAUCCUCCUCUGUCUUUCAAAGACCACCUGUCCCAUUUCUACCGGGCAUGGUCGCGCAUAACAUCGGAACAAUGGGUCCUGCGCACAGUGAAGGCGAGCUAUACCCUCCAAUUUUCCUCGCCCCCUCCCUGCCAUCCCCCUUCCCCGUCCCUCUUCAGGGACCCUUCUCACGAGCAACUUCUCAAGCAGGAGGUUCAGACCCUUCUCGCUGCUGGAGCAGUAGAAGAGGUUCCAAUAGACCUAAGGGGAAAAGGAUUCUACUCCAGAUACUUCCUGAUCCCCAAGGCAAAAGGAGGCCUCCGUCCUAUUUUGGACCUGCGCGAUCUCAACAAGUUUCUGAUCAAAGCUCGCUUCCGUAUGGUCUCCCUGGGAACUAUUAUCCCAUCCCUGGAUCUGGGGGAUUGGUAUGCUGCCCUCGAUAUGAAAGAUGCCUACUUUCACAUCUCAAUCAAUCCGGCCCACAGACGUUUUCUGCGCUUCGUCGUCGACCAGCGCCACUUCCAGUUUACGGUCCUGCCCUUCGGCCUGGCGUCAGCACCACGAGUGUUCACAAAAUGCAUGUCCGUGGUAGCAGCCUUCCUUCGAAAGAGAAGGAUGCGUGUGUUUCCGUACCUGGACGAUUGGCUACUCGUGGGCAGGUCGGAGGCCGAGGUCCGGUCUCACGUGACUCUGGCCCUGCAGACGUUCGACAAGCUCUGCCUCCGGGUCAAUGUGCCCAAGUCCACGUUAGUCCCCACACAGAGGCUGGACUUCAUAGGUGCAACCCUGGACUCGGUAACCGCACAAGCGAGCCUACCAGAGUCACGGUUCAGGUCAAUCCACAGAGCCGUAAGCACGGUCCUAAUGUUCCCUACGACAACGGCAAGGUGUUGCAUGCAGAUUCUGGGGCAUAUGGCAGCUUGCACACACGUGGUCAGACAUGCCCGCCUGAGGCUUCGGCCCCUACAGUUGUGGUUCGCCCAUACGCACCGCCCCAACAAAGACCCAUUGGAUCAGGUAGUCACGAUCCCAAACCAGGUGCUCGGCUCGCUACGCUGGUGGCUAGAUCGCCAACAGGUAUGCGAAGGGAUCCCCUUCGAUGCCCCACAGCCCACUCUGACGUUGGUAACAGACGCAUCGGACUUGGGUUGGGGGGCGCACCUGGGAGAACUGCGGACCCAAGGGCUGUGGUCCAGAGAGGACAAGCUGCUUCACAUCAAUCUGAAGGAGCUAAGAGCGGUUCGCCUCGCCUGUCAGACCUUCCGCGCCACCUUAAAAGGUCACAGCGUGGCAGUCCUGACGGACAACACUACCGCCAUGUUCUAUAUAAACAAGCAGGGCGGGUCCCGGUCUUCUCCCCUCUGUCGCGAGGCUCUCCAAUUAUGGAACUUCUGUAUAGCCCAUGCGAUACACCUCAUCGCGACGUAUCUUCCGGGGAUUCAAAACGGUUUAGCAGACCGCCUCAGCCGGUCCUACCGAAUGCACGAAUGGACGUUGAGGCGAGACGUCCUGCAUUCGAUCUUCCGGAGGUGGGGCUUUCCCCGGGUGGAUCUAUUCGCCACCAGGGACAACAGCCAAUGCCCUCAGUUCUGCUUGUUCCAGAACCUCAGCCGGGGAUCAUUAGCAGACGCUUUCAUGAUUCCAUGGGGAGGGAGCCUGGGAUAUGCCUUCCCUCCAUUCCCACUCAUACACAAGGUUCUCCUCAAGAUCCGCAGGGACAGGGCGACGAUCAUACUUGUCGCCCCGGCCUGGCCACGCCAGCAUUGGUUCACGUCCCUGCUGGAGCUGUAAAUAGCCGAUCCAAUCACCCUCCCUCUACAUCGCGACCUAGUCACGCAAGACAAAGGUCGCCUACUCCACCCGAACCUGUCUUCGCUACAUCUCACGGCAUGGCAUCUCUCUGGCUGAAUG